rnacentral:rRNA from 1 species
UACGAAGGGGCUAGCGUUGUUCGGAAUCACUGGGCGUAAAGGGCGCGUAGGCGGCCUGGCAAGUCGGGGGUGAAAGCCUGUGGCUCAACCACAGAAUGGCCUUCGAUACUGCCGGGCUUGAGACCGGAAGAGGUCAGUGGAACUGCGAGUGUAGAGGUGAAAUUCGUAGAUAUUCGCAAGAACACCAGUGGCGAAGGCGGCUGACUGGUCCGGUUCUGACGCUGAGGCGCGAAAGCGUGGGGAGCAAACAGG